rnacentral:rRNA from 1 species
AUUGAACGCUGGCGGCAUGCUUUACACAUGCAAGUCGAACGGUAACAGGCCUUGGGUGCUGACGAGUGGCGAACGGGUGAGUAAUGCAUCGGAACGUGCCCAAUCGUGGGGGAUAACCGUAGCGAAAGUUACGCUAAUACCCGCAUAAGCCCUGAGGGGGAAAGCAGGGGAUCGCAAGACCUUGCGCGAAUGGANCGGCCGAUGUCAGAUUAGCUAGUUGGUCGGGGUAAAGGCCUACCAAGGCGACGAUCUGUAGCGGGUCUGAGAGGAUGAUCCGCCACACUGGGACUGAGACACGGCCCAGACUCCUACGGGAGGCAGCAGUGGGGAAUUUUGGACAAUGGGCGCAAGGCCUGAUCCAGCCAUGCCGCGU